UACAGAGGUCUCAAGCGUUGUUCGGAUUCAUUGGGCGUAAAGAGCGUGUAGGCGGCCAGACAGGUCCGUUGUGAAAACUAGAGGCUUAACCUCUAGACGUCGAUGGAAACCGUCUGGCUAGAGUCCGGAAGAGGAGAAUGGAAUUCCUGGUGUAGCGGUGAAAUGCGCAGAUAUCAGGAAGAACACCCGUGGCUAAGGCGGUUCUCUAGUACGGUACCGACGCUGAGACGCGAAAGCGUGGGGAGCGAACAGG
rnacentral:rRNA from 1 species